AAGUGGGACGAUAAAGUAUGUUUUGGAUAUUCUUUCGGUAUGCACGAAUUUGCUAUACAACAGAGCGAUCCCUGAUCACUAAAAAAUUACACUGGAAAAGUUUCGGUAGUUGCAUCACACUAGAUUUAUAAAAGUCACUAGUUCAAGGGUCACUGUCAAGGACUAUAUAACGUCAUUUAUGUUUUUUAAGUAUUGAGUUGGAGAUCAACAUAACAAUUGCGCAAACUUGAUAAAAUUAGUAACCAUACUAUGGCUAUAAAUACCACGGUUAUUUGCAAUAAAUUUACUACUCAGUUAUCUGUCUGAUUUGCAAGUACUCACAUCGUUAGUGCAUACCUAGAAAAAAAACUAAAAUGACCAAAUUUACUUUGUUGUUAUCAAUUAUUUUAUUUAUUGGCUUCUAUGCUAAUGCAGUUGAAGCAAAUUGCGAUGGCCAUUGGUGUCAUCCUUCAGCUGGCUAUAAUUGCGGUUGUACCGGUUACUAUUGUAGUUCAGACUUUAGUCAAGGCACUUGCAAGAAACACGAUUAUCCCCUUCCUAUUAAUUUGUACGGAAAAUAAAAUAAAAUAUUGUUGAAAAAUCCGAAAGUUCAAACCUGCAACACUCGUUUUUUAUAUUAAAUUAUCAAUUUACUAUUAUUAAUUGUCAAACUAUGUACUCCUUCCCCGAUUGAAGAAAAUAAAUUGAAAUUAUUUUCAAUGUUAAAUCUCCAUAAGAGAAAUGAUUUAAAAAUCAUUUGAGAUAUUUUAUCUAAUUCGAAUUCAAAUCAUUUUAAGUCAUUUCAAAUCAGCUUCGCUAAUCAGAAUUAUAAAAAAGCUAAAAUAAAUGGUACCAGUUUAGUGGAAAAAACA